AUUGAACGCUGGCGGCAUGUUUACACAUGCACGUCGAACGGUAACAGGCCGCAAGGUGCUGACGAGUGGCGAACGGGUGAGUAAUGCAUCGGAACGUGCCCAGUCGUGGGGGAUAACUACUCGAAAGAGUAGCUAAUACCGCAUACGAUCUAUGGAUGAAAGCGGGGGACCGUAAGGCCUCGCGCGAUUUGAGCGGCCGAUGUCAGAUUAGGUAGUUGGUGGGGUAAAGGCUCACCAAGCCAACGAUCUGUAGCUGGUCUGAGAGGACGACCAGCCACACUGGGACUGAGACACGGCCCAGACUCCUACGGGAGGCAGCAGUGGGGAAUUUUGGACAAUGGGCGCAAGCCUGAUCCAGCAAUGCCGCGUGCAGGAAGAAGGCCUUCGGGUUGUAAACUGCUUUUGUACGGAACGAAACGGCUCUGGUUAAUACCCGGGGCUAAUGACGGUACCGUAAGAAUAAGCACCGGCUAACUACGU
rnacentral:rRNA from 1 species